AAAUUGAAGAGUUUGAUCAUGGCUCAGAUUGAACGCUGGCGGCAGGCCUAACACAUGCAAGUCGAACGGUAACAGGAAGCAGCUUGCUGCUUUGCUGACGAGUGGCGGACGGGUGAGUAAUGUCUGGGAAACUGCCUGAUGGAGGGGGAUAACUACUGGAAACGGUGGCUAAUACCGCAUAACGUCGCAAGACCAAAGAGGGGGACCUUCGGGCCUCUUGCCAUCAGAUGUGCCCAGAUGGGAUUAGCUUGUUGGUGAGGUAACGGCUCACCAAGGCGACGAUCCCUAGCUGGUCUGAGAGGAUGACCAGCCACACUGGAACUGAGACACGGUCCAGACUCCUACGGGAGGCAGCAGUGGGGAAUAUUGCACAAUGGGCGCAAGCCUGAUGCAGCCAUGCCGCGUGUAUGAAGAAGGCCUUCGGGUUGUAAAGUACUUUCAGCGGGGAGGAAGGUGUUGUGGUUAAUAACCGCAGCAAUUGACGUUACCCGCAGAAGAAGCACCGGCUAACUCCGUGCCAGCAGCCGCGGUAAUACGGAGGGUGCAAGCGUUAAUCGGAAUUACUGGGCGUAAAGCGCACGCAGGCGGUCUGUCAAGUCGGAUGUGAAAUCCCCGGGCUCAACCUGGGAACUGCAUUCGAAACUGGCAGGCUUGAGUCUUGUAGAGGGGGGUAGAAUUCCAGGUGUAGCGGUGAAAUGCGUAGAGAUCUGGAGGAAUACCGGUGGCGAAGGCGGCCCCCUGGACAAAGACUGACGCUCAGGUGCGAAAGCGUGGGGAGCAAACAGGAUUAGAUACCCUGGUAGUCCACGCCGUAAACGAUGUCUACUUGGAGGUUGUGCCCUUGAGGCGUGGCUUCCGGAGCUAACGCGUUAAGUAGACCGCCUGGGGAGUACGGCCGCAAGGUUAAAACUCAAAUGAAUUGACGGGGGCCCGCACAAGCGGUGGAGCAUGUGGUUUAAUUCGAUGCAACGCGAAGAACCUUACCUGGUCUUGACAUCCACGGAAGAAUUCAGAGAUGGAUUUGUGCCUUCGGGAACCGUGAGACAGGUGCUGCAUGGCUGUCGUCAGCUCGUGUUGUGAAAUGUUGGGUUAAGUCCCGCAACGAGCGCAACCCUUAUCCUUUGUUGCCAGCGUCGGUCGGGAACUCAAAGGAGACUGCCAGUGAUAAACUGGAGGAAGGUGGGGAUGACGUCAAGUCAUCAUGGCCCUUACGACCAGGGCUACACACGUGCUACAAUGGCGCAUACAAAGAGAAGCGACCUCGCGAGAGCAAGCGGACCUCAUAAAGUGCGUCGUAGUCCGGAUUGGAGUCUGCAACUCGACUCCAUGAAGUCGGAAUCGCUAGUAAUCGUGGAUCAGAAUGCCACGGUGAAUACGUUCCCGGGCCUUGUACACACCGCCCGUCACACCAUGGGAGUGGGUUGCAAAAGAAGUAGGUAGCUUAACCUUCGGGAGGGCGCUUACCACUUUGUGAUUCAUGACUGGGGUGAAGUCGUAACAAGGUAACCGUAGGGGAACCUGCGGUUGGAUCACCUCCUUACCUUAAAGAAGC
rnacentral:rRNA from 1 species